rnacentral:ncRNA from 2 species
AAUAUUUGCUAGGGGUGCUUUAAGCUGAGAGAUGGUAUGAGAUAUAUUGUCAACCCUUAAACCUGAACUGGAUAAUGCCAGCGUAGGAAAGCGUUAAUAUACGAAU